CUGGGGGCGGGAGAACAAAGCUGCUGCUGCCGCCUCCGUGUGAGCCGCCUUGUGUUCAGAGACAAAGAGCAGGUCUACACUACCACCGGAUCGGCAGGUAGCUCUCUCCCAUCAACUCCAGUACUCCACUGCCUUAAGGGGCGAAUGCGGAGUCGAUGGGUUAGCAGCAGCAGUCGGAUGCUGCGGCUGCCGAAUGACGUCCAUGUUUCGCUCCAGCUCAUCCCAUCCUCCCAUGGGACAUAGGAG